UACAGAGGUCUCAAGCGUUGUUCGGAUUCAUUGGGCGUAAAGGGUGCGUAGGCGGCGCGGUAAGUCGGGUGUGAAAUCUCGGAGCUUAACUCCGAAACUGCAUUCGAUACUGCCGUGCUUGAGGACUGGAGAGGAGACUGGAAUUUACGGUGUAGCGGUGAAAUGCGUAGAUAUCGUAAGGAAGACCAGUGGCGAAGGCGGGUCACUGGCCCGGUACUGACGCUCAUGUGCGAAAGCGUGGGGAGCAAACAGG
rnacentral:rRNA from 1 species